CGGGAUUGAAAUGUAGACGACGAGCGGUGAAAGUCGCUUUCCCUUCGGGGCGUCUAUGUAGGUGCUGCAUGGUUGUCGUCAGCUCGUGCCGUGAGGUGUCGGCUUAAGUGCCAUAACGAGCGCAACCCCUGUCUACGGUUGCCAUCAGGUGAUGCUGGGAACUCCGUAGAGACUGCCGUCGUAAGGCGUGAGGAAGGUGGGGAUGACGUCAAAUCAGCACGGCCCUUACAUCCGGGGCGACACACGUGUUACAAUGGUGGGGACAAAGGGCAGCUACCUGGCGACAGGAUGCGAAUCUCCAAACCCCAUCACAGUUCGGAUCGGAGUCUGCAACUCGACUCCGUGAAGCUGGAUUCGCUAGUAAUCGCGCAUCAGCCAUGGCGCGGUGAAUACGUUCCCGGGCC
rnacentral:rRNA from 1 species